rnacentral:lncRNA from 1 species
ACUUCAUAGUGAACCUGAGCUCAGUGUUCUCCUGCUAAAGUCUUCCCACCUUUUUCUGAUGAAUCUUCAUCUGACGGAAAUAAUGGUCCCUCUCAGCAAGAUAGUGAUCUCUCUCGGCCAUAAUCUUCGCUUUCUCUUCUUCCUUAACCCUCAUCUUUGCUUCCCAUUCUGUGGUAAAGGCUUUGACUCUAGCUUCCCUCUGAGUCUUCACAAGGACUUGUCU